rnacentral:sRNA from 1 species
UAAGGAUGGAUUCAUUGAUAAGGGCAACUCUAGGGUUCAUCAGAUGGCUAAUAGGCGAAAGGUAGGUACCCUUGACGAUAGAUUCAAAAACCGGGUCAAUCCACUCUGGUGACAGAGACCCCCAUAACUCUACUACUUCCUAAUAUCAACUCUCGUUGAUGAAACAUAGAAGAGCAGGGUUUAAGAAACAAUCUACCAAAGCCAGUAAGCAGACAAGCCAAUCUCUUGGUCGAGUCUACAAAUCUCUGGAAUUCGUAGAUCAGACAUCCAUUUGAACGUCUUUUGGAUACUGGACGUCUAUGAUCGAAUCUCCACAUUAGCGAACGAAAACCACAUAGGGGCCAAGCGAAUCCAAAAGGGUACUAACCUAAACACUAACCACCUAACUAACUUAGAGAUUACCCUAAUCUAAUCCAUCCUCAAGAACCCUAAUCACUACUCAAGCAACAUUCUCAAGAACACAAACCCAGAAAUUACUGAAAUCAUAUCAAAAUGUAGAUCUAAACAAGCGAAACAACUUUACUAAAACAACUAAAUGCAAAAAC